rnacentral:rRNA from 1 species
UUAAGUGACGAUAGCCUAGGAGAUACACCUGUACCCAUGCCGAACACAGAAGUUAAGCCCUAGAACACCGGAAGUAGUUGGGGGUUGCCCCCUGUGAGAUAGGGAAGUCGCUUAGC